rnacentral:tRNA from 3 species
GGAGCGGUAGAGCAGGCGGUGGGAAUAGCUGCCUGUCACACCGGGAUCGAGGGUUCGAGCCCUGUCCGCUCCGCCA